AAGGCCGUCCGAGUUGUAAUCUGGAGAAGCGUUUUCAGUACCGGCCCGCGUACAAGUCCCCUGGAACGGGGCGUCGCAGAGGGUGAGAAUCCCGUCUUUGACGCGGUCUGCCCGGUGCCAUGCGAUGCGCUCUCGAAGAGUCGAGUUGUUUGGGAAUGCAGCUCAAAAAGGGUGGUAAAUUCCAUCUAAAGCUAAAUACUGGCGAAAGACCGAUAGCGAACAAGUACCGUGAGGGAAAGAUGAAAAGCACUUUGGAAAGAGAGUCAAACAGUACGUGAAAUUGUUGAAAGGGAAACGCUUGAAGUCAGUCGCGUCUCCCGGGAUUCAGCAGGUUCCUUCGCGGGACAGGCGCAUUUCCCGGGGUUUUGACGGGCCAGCGUCGAUUUCGACCGUCGUAAAAAGGCGAAGAGGAACGUGGCACCUUUCGGGGUGUGUUAUAGCCUCGCGUCGUAUGCGAACGGUUUAGGGAUCGAGGAACGCAGCGCGCCUUUUUCAUUAAGGGCCGGGGUUCGCCCACGUAACGCGCUUAGGACGCUGGCGUAAUGGCUUUAAGCGACCCGUCUUGAAACACGGACCAAGGAGUCUAACAUGCU
rnacentral:rRNA from 1 species